AGAGUUUGAUCCUGGCUCAGAUUGAACGCUGGCGGAACGCUUUACACAUGCAAGUCGAACGGUAACGCGGAGAGAAGCUUGCUUCUCUCCGGCGACGAGUGGCGAACGGGUGAGUAAUACAUCGGAACGUGUCCGCUCGUGGGGGACAACCAGCCGAAAGGUUGGCUAAUACCGCAUGAGUUCUACGGAAGAAAGAGGGGGACCCGCAAGGGCCUCUCGCGAGCGGAGCGGCCGAUGACUGAUUAGCCGGUUGGUGAGGUAACGGCUCACCAAAGCAACGAUCAGUAGCUGGUCUGAGAGGACGACCAGCCACACUGGGACUGAGACACGGCCCAGACUCCUACGGGAGGCAGCAGUGGGGAAUUUUGGACAAUGGGCGCAAGCCUGAUCCAGCUAUUCCGCGUGUGGGAUGAAGGCCCUCGGGUUGUAAACCACUUUUGUAGAGAACGAAAAGACACCUUCGAAUAAAGGGUGUUGCUGACGGUACUCUAAGAAUAAGCACCGGCUAACUACGUGCCAGCAGCCGCGGUAAUACGUAGGGUGCGAGCGUUAAUCGGAAUUACUGGGCGUAAAGGGUGCGCAGGCGGUUGAGUAAGACAGAUGUGAAAUCCCCGAGCUUAACUCGGGAAUGGCAUAUGUGACUGCUCGACUAGAGUGUGUCAGAGGGAGGUGGAAUUCCACGUGUAGCAGUGAAAUGCGUAGAUAUGUGGAAGAACACCGAUGGCGAAGGCAGCCUCCUGGGACAUAACUGACGCUCAGGCACGAAAGCGUGGGGAGCAAACAGGAUUAGAUACCCUGGUAGUCCACGCCCUAAACGAUGUUAACUAGUUGUUGGGAAGUAAAAUUCUCAGUAACGCAGCCAACGCGAGAAGUUAACCGCCUGGGAAGUACGGUCGCAAGACUAAAACUCAAAGGAAUUGACGGGGACCCGCACAAGCGGUGGAUGAUGUGGAUUAAUUCGAUGCAACGCGAAAAACCUUACCUACCCUUGACAUGUCAGGAAGCUCUUGUAAUGAGAGCGUGCCCGCAAGGGAGCCUGAACACAGGUGCUGCAUGGCUGUCGUCAGCUCGUGUCGUG
rnacentral:rRNA from 1 species